AGCUUUGCACCAUGGCAGUAUCAUAGCCAAUGAGGUUUAUCCGAGGCACGAUUAUUGCUAAUUGAAAAACAAUAGUAUACC
rnacentral:snRNA from 1 species